GCACACGCAUAUGUGUCCAGGUGCCUACGCAGGUGCCUGACCCUGGGCAAGUCGCUCCGUCAUGCGGACCUCAGUUUUCUCAUCUGUCCGACGAAGGAAUCCGGGCAGAACAUGAAUUCUCAGAACUGGUGGGACUUUCCAACCAGUUGCUUCUCAUGCAGAGGCAGAAAAAUGAGGGGAUCAACAGCCCAGGCCUCAGGGGCACCCUUCUUGGCCCUUACAGGAGAGAAACUGAGUCCGAGGGAUGUCAACAUGCCAAGUCCAUGGAAAUAUCAGUGGGCUGGAAUUCUAGCUGCCUGAAAGAAGACAUUCCUCACACAAGACCUCACAAUCAUAUCCAUGGAAUUAUAGCACUGGGCUCUCCAGAUGGUGCUACAGGAAGACCUCCAGAAAUUUGACAAUCCUCUAUUCAAGGCCCUACCACAGAGACACACAGGAACGGAACUCAGAAUCACAAACAAAGAAACUUUGAUCCAAGAAAGAAAAUGAUCUUUAAAAAGACCCUCGUUUCAUGCUGGCCGAUGCUGAGAAAAUCUGCUCUGAAGGAUAUUUGGAGACACUGAUUAAAAGAUGGUUGUCCCAGUGGAGGGGGAUUCUUCGUGUUACGUAGAUAGGAAGCACGAUGCAAAAGUGUUGAAGCAGGAGUGUAAAGAAUAAUUAAAACACCUGCCCAAGACCCAAGCAAGGAUAGGAUUUCCCAGACAUUCGUGAGGGAGAAAAUGCCAUGUCCUUUCCUUCUGGUGUCACAUCAGAAUCUGAAGGCUGCUAGAGAAGGGAGAGAAACAUGAAAGUGAGUCCCAUGCUGAUUGUUGUUGAAAUACCUGGAAAGAAACUGGCAAAGACUAUCCAAGGGAUGCUAAGACAUGUCCGAACUUACAAAACAGUAGAACCUGAAUAGGAAUUUGAAGUUGUCUAUACUCUCCUCAGCCACACCCUGCCAUUUUACAGAUUGUCUUCUCUGGGGAAGUUAGCUGUCAUGUUGUGAGGAUACUCAAGCAGUUUAUAAAGAGGUUCAUGUCGCAAGGAAUGGAGGCCUCCUGCCAACAGCCAUGUAAAGGAGCCAUCUAGGAAAUAGAUUCUCCAGCCCCAGUCAGACCUUCAGAUGAUUACAGCCCCUACCAACCUUCUGACUGCGGUGGAAGGAAGGUUCCGGAACCAGAACCACCCAGGUUAAUGUGGGUAAGUCUCAUCCAAUCCUUUGAAGGCCUGAAGAACAAAGAGUGAGGUUUCUGGAAGAAGAAAAUUUUACCUCAAGCCUGCAAUGUAGAAAUUCUGCUUGAGUUUCCCGCCUGCUGGCCUGCCCUGUGGAAUUCGGAGUCAAGAAGGAGUCUUGUAAGCAUUAACUGAGAUAGUAUAUGAAGAGUGCUUUUGCACCGAGUGAACCUUCAAUCAACUGUACUAGUUUGUAUGCCUGGAAGAGCUGCUAUAUGGGAUCAGAAAGAAAAAUAAGGUGCAUACGCCAGAAAAAAAAUACUUGCAUAUGAGUACUAGGAGAUGCAUGACAAUGUUCACGGCAGCAGUAUUCAUGGCAGUGAAAAAUGAAAAGAACUGAAAUGCCCAUUGAUAAAAACGUCUACUUAUUUGUGUCAUCUUUGCACAGUGGAAUUGUGCGAGUGGAAAUGAUUGAUCUACAGCUAGGAGAAGCAGCAGAGCUCAAUCUCAAAAACAUAACGUUGUGUGGAAAAAGCUAACCUCAGAACACUUUGCGGCUCUAUCUUAGCAAACCAGGAGAGAAAUUCUCCUGAUGGCCUUGAAGAAGCAAACAGCCACCUGGUUAAGCCCCUGUGGAUAGUGCCAAGUGGCAGGAAAGUGGGAGCCACCUCUAGGACCUGAGGAUUAAAGUCAGUAAGAGCUGGGACCUCACUCAUGCAGACUCGAGGACAUGAAUUCGACCAACAACUUGAAUGAGCUUGGAAGUGGAUUCUUCCCUAGUCCAGUCUUCAGAAAUUAAGAAUGUUCCCAAAGAAUGAUGGAGACAUUUCAAAAGGAUACGGAAGCCAGAUUGUGGGCGCUUCUACUGGCCAACUCUGGGACAUCGUGGACAUCAAAAUAAAUUUGUAAUAAUAAAGGAUUAUAGCCUAUUAGUUAAAUCAGAAAAAUCUGAUUUAACUAAAUGAGUAGGAGGAAAAGAAAGCUCUUCCUUAUAUUAGAAAGUCAAUUAAUAAAUGCAGAAAGGAAUGAAAAAAUUAGAAAAGCCACCAUUUGGCAACCAUGGCAGGCAGAAUGGGGAGUAUGCCUCCAGACAGUAAUUCCUUUCAAACUGGUUUAUAGGAACUCACUGAGCUUGCUGAUCGACCUCUGAGAGGCAAAGUUUCUGAAUUAUGAAGUACUGAUUAUAUAAACUUAGACAGAGACAUGCUUCAUUAUUUAAUAGGACUGUGUCAAAAGCCUACUAUUAGGAUGAUGUGUUGGGUGUGGAACAGGGUCUCUUCCUGCCAGGAACACUGGUGAUUUCACUCCGUGUUCAGGCUGAUCUUUGAAGUUGAAGACAAGCAGAAGAAUCCUUCUAAAAUUUAGCCAUGCCCAUAGGCUGGGAGGGACACUGCUCCAUUCAGAGGCAGCAAAGCACAUUACUGUAUCUCCUAUAGAGCUUUGAGCAGUCCAGUGUACAUGGAGAAACUUAGUAAAUGUUGUUGAAUUAGUGAAUGAACAAAUCAAUGGACCAAGUCAGGGGUAAGUCUUACAUUUGUCAUCUAGGUGAUUAAGAAAGGAAAAAGUAUCUGUUUCAAGAGGAUUACAAUCUAACUGUACUCCAAUAGUAAAAUUUACUCUUUUGGAAUCUGAAGACA
rnacentral:lncRNA from 1 species